AAUAUGGCGUAGAUCGCCCGUUUCCUCUCCAUGUUGAAUGCUACUGAUUUUCUGGCCACUUACAAUCUCAAGAACAAGUACACCAAAACUAAAAACAUCUGACUUCUCUGAAAACUGUCCAUGCAAUGCAUACUCAGGUGCCAUAUAUCCACUGUAUCAUAUUGGAGUAUGAACAAACUUAGUUAAACAAAACCAUUUACAAUCAUCUUCGAAUAUUUCGCAGUUUUCAAUUGCUAAACCUAAACAUUAGUAAGCAAAGUUUGAGUACUUACAAUGUCCCAACAACUCUCUGUGUAUCUUCAUGAGUCUGAUCCACAACAAAUAACCUUGCCAAGCCAAAAUCUGCUAUCUUAGGGUUCAUCCCUUCGUCUAAGAGAAUGUUACCUGCUUUGAGAUCACGAUGGAUAAUGCGCAGUCGAGAAUCUUGAUGGAGGUAGAGAAUACCUCGAGCAGUACCUGCAAUGAUUUUGAAGCGCGUAUACCAAUCUAAUUGUGCUCUCUUGGUUUUAUCUGCAUAUACACAAACAAGGCAUACAUGAAUCUUAGGACUACGUAAUUAAGCUAAGUGUCAAGCCAUGCUGAAAUAGCAGAGGUAUGGUCCAAUUAAGCAGACAUUCAAACUAAACCUACCAAAUAUGAAGUAAUCAAGGCUUUUAUUUGGAACAAAUUCGUAGACAAGUAGCUUUUCUCUUCCUUCCAUACAGAAACCAAGUAGUCUAACUAAAUUUCGGUGCUGAAGUUUGGCCAAUAAAAGAACCUCAUUCUUGAAUUCUGUAUUUCCUUGUCUAGAAUUAGCUGACAACCUUUUGACGCCAAUCUCUUGUCCAUCGGGAAGCGUACCCUGAAAACAUAUAUGGAAUGGUAAGUUCUCUGCAAGUAGUGUUAUGUAUACCAUAGUUUGAACAAGUUAUGGUCAACAAUUAUCUUACUCUGUAAACAGCCCCAAAUCCACCCUGUCCGAGUUUAUUAGAAUCAGAAAAGUCAUCUGUAGCCUCUCGUAUGAUACUAAAUCUGAUUUGCAAUGACUCAGAAGCGUCAAUUCCAUCAUCAUCAUCAUCAUAUAGUUCUUCUUCUUCUUGUUUAGCUUCACACAGGGAACGGUUUUGAAAUAGUAAGUUUUUCAUAUGAGAUGCUAGAGCAAUAUUAAAAUAAGUUUUCUCCCAUGUGAACUUACAAAUGCGGUCUAAAAUUAAACUAAUGUUACUUGAUAUGAUUUUUAAUGGUUACUACUUCCUCUGUGGUUGACUAUUACUUGCAGCAAUUGAGUAAGCAUGUUUAGAAUUAGUUAUUGAUUUUUUUUUUUUUGCAAACUGGGCUCUUUGUCUCACCAUUUAAUGGAAGGAAUUACUAUUUAACAAACAUUACGUAUCUAUAAAAAAAUAUUUAGAUAAAAGUUAUGAUGUUAGGUUGAGUUGUACUCUACUUAAAUCGUUGCAAUAAUACAGCACCAUUAAGUAGAAAACAUGUCACGUAAACCAGUACUUCCACUUACUUUCAAACUUCUUCCACGACUUCCUCGCUAUUAAACGAAUGUAGAUAAAAAUAACCACCGCGGAAACAAUUACAAUAGCUGGCACUGCUGUUGCUAUGGCGAUGAUAACUGUGUUGCUUUUUCCUGCACAAAUCAGAAUCCUCAGUGGGACAUUGCACAGAUUAAGACCAUUAAAUAUCAACAAGUCCAAUAACUAAUUAUUAAGGUCAUCUAAACACGGUUUGCUAAAACUUAUUACUUUGUAGAUCCUAAUUCCUAAAGAAAAACUAAACUUUAAAUUAUUUGGUAUUCAGGUGUGAGUUUGAUUAGACUAGAAAUAAGUUCGAACAACAUUAUAUAAAAAAGAAGACAAAAUAUGUUUUCUUAAAAAGUUUGGGUUUCAUGUUGUUUUGGUUUUCUUAUAUAGAAUGAUAUUGGCGUCCAAUUUUCCUAAAGUUUUUUUCAAUCCUAAAUAUUGUGAAAACUGGAAACAUUUACCGUUUCUUAUACACAUGAUUGGUUUCCUCCAAUAAAGAAGGACCUGAUAAGUAAAAUAUAAAAAUAAGGAUGAUAAAGCGAGCGCGCCAUGCGAGGAUUGCCGGCCUGCUAGUAAAAAUUGUGUGCGGUGUCAUUUUAUUGAUCCAUUUUAGGUUGUCUUCUAUAAUUCACAGUCCGCAUAAACUUAAAAACAGAAUGGGGUGGACUGUCCGUAAAAAAGAUUUUGUGUGUUAACUUACCAAUAACAAAACAAGUUUGAAAAAAAAAAAAAAAAUUCUUUUCUCAUUCAUAUUUAUCUAUUUUUAUGUUUAUUGUAGUGGUAUUUAUGUUUAAUAUUUUUAAAUUAACUAUUUUAUAUUUUUGAAAUGAAUAGAAGAAUAUUGAUAUUUGAUUUUUAUCUUAAUUAAAUUAUUAAUGUUUGACAAUGUUUAAAAUGAAAAAAAAUAUUGAUGUUUGAUAAUAAUAAAUAUAAGUUUAAUUUUACAAUUUUACAAGAGAAAAAAUAAAAAAUAUUUUUAUUGAAUUUUAAAACCUUAUGUAGGAUGGAACAAAGAAAUUCAUCCUAAGUAAAAAUACAUUCUUAACAAACAAAUUCAUUAAUAUUUUAACUAUUUUAAUUUUAAUUUAAAAUAUUAUAAUAUUAUUAUAAAGGGUUGUAGAAUAGUGUGUUUUUAGUGUUUGCAGUGUUAACAAAACUUUUUCAAUAAUACAGAAGAAAAAUAUAGAUUGAUAAUCUUGUUAUAAUAUGCAACCAUUUUUUUUAUCUAAAAUUUUAACUUUAUAGUAUGAAAUGACAAAUUUUUUUUUUUAUAUUAAUUAGAUAUUGUAUACUCACUUUUGUUGGGUCCUGUUAUUUUGGAUUCUUACAUCAUAAUUGACACGGUGAGGGCCAAACAGUUUCAAGGAUAGAACUUGUUGAAAAACAGUAAAUAACAUAUCUUUAAUACCCAAUUAUAAAAAUCUAAUAACAUUUUUAAUUAAAAAAUAAAUUAAAUAUAAUUGAAAUAAUAAUUUAUUGGUAUGUGAAAUGGAUGUGUUUUACUCUAUGGUGUCAGCACCCUUAUAUAAAAGCUUUCUUUGUUGAGUGCCAUUUUGGGUGAUAAAUAUAUACAUGUUGUUUGAACAACUCUAUCAACAUAUACAUAUUGGGUUAUGGUAUGUUGCACUGAAAAUGAUUUUUUGACACCAUUACUUCGCUUCACAUUCCACUAAAUAUUAUUUUUUUAAUUUUUUAAUUUUUUUAAUUUUUAAAAUUUAUUUUAAUAUUUUGUAUUUUGCCUAUAUUUUUGUUAAGGACAAUUUUUUUUUUUUUAUAAAUAUUAAUAUUUUGUUGUAAAUAUAGAGUGAAGUAAGGUAUCAAAAUAUUAUAAUCUAUGUUUCACCCUACACCCAUAAUAAAUAUUAAUAUUUAUAAUAAUUUUUUUUUAUAAAAAAAUAACUCCUUAAUAAAAAUACUAAUAAAUAUAAAAUGUUUCAAAAUUAAAAAGAUUAUAAAUUUUUAUAAAUAAUUAAAAUAUUAAUAUUUAUUGAGGUGUAGAGUGAAGUAUAAAGUCAAAUAAACAUUUUUUAUAUUAAAACCAGCCCCGAAAACCACAUUUAACCAAACUGCUACGCUAAAGGUGGAAGAAUAAAAUAUUUAAAUUGUGUAAUAAAGUAAAAACUUUACAUGAAGAAAUUUAGUUCAGCAGGAGCAACUGAAUUAAUUAAGAUAGUCUAAGCAUAAUUUGACAAGUGCGUACCUUCUGAGGAAGUGUUAGAGGGUGUAUAUGCUGCAGCCCCAUAAAACUGAAGGGAAGUUUCAUAUCUCAGAUUGCAACUGGGUCGAACAACUCUAGCUCCUAUUUUACUAUCACAACAAUUUCCGAAUUCUUCCAUGGACUGAAUCAAGCAGUUAUUGCAAUCUUGUUCAGACAAAUCAGGCGUGCACUGCGCAAGCCCGAAAAUGGUUUUGUCAUCUGGUCCGGUUGCCUUUGCUGUAGCAUAUUUACUUUGAGAGUCUCCUGAUGCAGCUCUGCUUCUCAUCCCAUCAAGCAAAUCCCUUAGCACUUUAUUGAACUCCUCCGCUUGCGUUGCAUGAUCUGAAUUCCACACAAAAUACGCAGGUUUUCCAGUUUCCAUAAGGCCGAAUAUUGAGCGGUUUGAGUAGCGCAACAUGCACUUCUCAUCCUCGUACCAACCAAUUACUUCCUUUCUGUUUGGACAAAGUUCAGUGAGAUUGGCCCUGGAAUCGUUAAGGCAUCUGCGACAUUCAUCUGGCUUGAUGUCUCCUCUACACAGCCCAAUGGCGUACACUUUAUCGGUGUUUUCACCGUUUGUGAAAUUGUAGAAACCGUAAUCGAUUUCUGUAUUGGAAAUGAGAGUGGACAAAAGGGUGUUGAGGUUGGUGUGGUAGGUGCUGUUGGUGGUGUAGUUUCCUUGAUCGUUGGUAUCAUCACAGAAGUAGUGGAAGUUUUGUGUAUUGUUAACUGCACUAACUUGAGAUAUAAAAAAUGUUAUCGGAAGACACCAGAGAAAGAAAAGCAGCCUUGGCAAAAGCAGAGGCAUGUUGAUUGUUUUGUGAUGUGAGGAAUAAGAAGUAAGGAAAAAAUGGGAUAACAGGAGUCUCUUUUAGAUAGAAUAAGCUUAGUGAUUAGCUCAAUCGAACUUUCAUAGUUGCUUCAACUAUCAUUGACGUUUUCAAUUUCACUUUCCCUUCCAUUUAGUCAGAUGCAACACUUUCCAUGAAAUUUCAACAAUUGAUUAAUUAGAAGAGUGUACGUUUGAGCUACAUUAAUUAUUUUUUUUCAUUUAUAUCCUUAUUUUUGUACUUAAAUUACAUAAAUGCAUUAUAAUGUAAAAAAUAAGAAUAAUUUUUUUUUUCUUAUAAACAAUGUAUUAAUUUAAAAUAAAAUAUAUUAGUUUUCUUAGGUCUCCUAAAAAUAUCAUUAAAACUACACUUCAAAAAACAGAGGGAGUAAGUCGUAACAACGAAAUUAUACAAACAUCUUAAGCCAUCAACAAUAUUAUACCCAUUAAAUAUUAAUUUGAUUUUACACUCUUUAAUUUUAGAAAAUUACACUUAUUUUCCUGAUCUUAAAUAAAAUUGUUUCAUAAACGGUGAGUUUCACGUAUUUAAAUAAAAUUGUUUUAUAAGAAUAAUAUUCAUAUAUACAACUAAAAAAUUAUAGAAAAACCAUAAAAAUGUAAUUAAAAAAUAAUUUAUUGAAAUAAUUUUAAAUAUAAAAUAUAAAAUAGUUAUUUAACAGCGUAAUUCUACUAAAAAUGAGUAAUAAAAAAAUUUAUGAUGAAAAAAACUAAAAGUGUCUCUAAUUUGAAGUGAGUUGUGAGAAAGAAUGGGUCUGUGUUCAUUAUUCUGCCAUAUGAAAAGUGUAGUAUUUCCCUGCACUCGUCAAGAACUAUGGCCUGGUCCACCUUCGUUUCUGUGAUGUUUCUUCCUCGGAUCGAUAGGGAGUUACGUGGACUCAUAUCCAUUACAAGUUUUGAUAAUUUUAUAUUUUUAUGAACCUAUUUUUUGUUAAAUUAUUAUGAGAAAGAAAACAAUAAACACAUUUUUUUUGCCUUAAUAGAUAAACUAAGAUGAAGAAAUUAUUUUAAAUAUAAACUCCAAGUAAGUAUGCAAGUAGGUAUGUCCAGUCCAGAUAAAAAAAAAAUUGAUGUGAAUAAUAAUUUUAAUAAAAUUGUAUUUAUUUAUUAAAGAUAUUUAUAGUGUCUUAAAAUGAAUAUUGUUAUUUGGUGUUGGUGGGUGAAGGAAAAUGACAUGUGUCUUAAAGUGUCUUAAAUAUGAAAGAAAGAAAGAUGAAAAGUCAGCCGUUUGAACAGAUGGAAAACGAGGAAAAACAAAGGAAAAAGAUAAAUUUUAUCCACAAAAUCUACCAGAAAACCAGAGCAUCUGUGUUAUUUAGGUUCCUUUAAUUAAUUUCUCUAAUAUUUCACUUUAUAUAUUUCAAAGUUAUUUUAAAAAUACUUUAAUUGCUUGUUCAGUUAUUUUAAUUUUAAAAUUAUAAAAAAUUACACGGUCUAUUUUAAUAAAUAUUAAUAAAAAAAUCCAAACACUAUUUUAGGUGUCCCGUUUUAAUUCAGUUCAUCAUUCAUUCACUCACUAAAGAGGGAUUGAAAGUUUGGGUCCAUCUCGUCAUAGGAGUUACCGUAUUAAUUCUUUUAAUUGUAUAAAUUUAUUAUUUUUAUUUAAAAAUUAUAUAUGUUAAAAGUAUACUUUAUUUAUAAAUAUUUUUAAGUCUUUAAUUAAUUAAUCAAUAUAUCUAAUUAAUAAUUAAAUAAAUAUAUUGAAAAUGAUUUUAUUAUAAUUAAUAAUUAAAAUUUAAUUUAUAAAUAUUAAUUAUUUAAUUUUUAGUAUCUUUCAAAUAUUAAAUAAAUUAUUAAAAUUUUAAAUUAUUUUUAUUUUUAAUUAAAAAAUAAUAGACAGAAGAUGUUAUUACAUGUUGAUGAAUUAAAGGUAUAAAACUCAUCCCCUUAAAUUAGUGGCGGAUUGACACAACGACCUACUUCAUAACGUGUCUGAAUUUUUAUUUUUUUUAUAACUAAUAUAUAUAUAUAUAUUAUUAAAGUAAUCUUAUUGUUAAAAUUAAUUCUUUAAAAUUAAACUUUCUAAACCUUCAUAUAUUAAUUAUAUGUAUUUAAAUAUGGGGAUUUAUUUAUUUUUAAUUUAUGUGGAUUCCCACUAUUUGUUACUUUAUUUUAUUUUUCUACUAGAUUAUGAAUUAAAAAUUUUACUUUUUAAUUUUUUUAUUAAAUUAAAGUUAAAGAUGAAUUUUUAUUAACAAUUUAUAUGAGUUAUUUUUACUAUUGAUGCUCCAAAUUAUAAAAAAAAAAUCUGCCCAAAGUCAAUAAGAAAGUCGCUUGAAGAAAAAGUAAAAGUAAUAGUUUAUAACAACUUUAUAAUUGAUUUAAUAUUAUUAAAAUAAAAUAAAAAAACAGAUAGAAGUGUUUUUUUAUUAAUAUAAUCAAUUAAGAAUAGUUAUAAAACGGAACAUUCAUAAUUAAUUAUGAUGUAUUUUUUAUUAUAACAAUAAUAAAUAAUUGACAAAUAUCAUAUUAUUAAAAAUAAUUUUUUAUAUUUAUUUUUUAUAAUUUAAUAAUAUAUUGUAUUCAUUUAUUGAUCACAAUUUUUUUCUUUUUCCUUUCUUUUAUUUAUUUUCUCCAUAAAAUCAUCAUAAAAGAAUAUGGAUAGAAACAUAAAGGAAGGUGCUUGAAUGAAAGACAAGGGUUGUGCCACAAAGAUUUGGAGAUUUUUCAGUGAACAUAGAAGCAAAGCAUGUAAACUUAAGCUUCAUAUUAACACACUUUGUAGGUAGGCUUAACCAGGGACAUAACAAUCCAAACAUUGAUAAGCGUGUAACUUAAGCUUCAAAUUAUCACUAUUGUAUCAAAUUCUUACGAGGAUAUGUCUCAGUAAUUAAAGCCUCAUCCACUGAAUAUUGACUUGUUUGUGGAUUCACUCGAUCCUUUUCCCUUGAAUUAUGCUCCGAUGCAACAUGUUUGGAAAGCUUCUUGUUCUACUGUCCACAACAAAUGCAGGUUGAUAGUGGGGAAAAUAGAGGAUAUGUUAUGUUUCAUACACAAUCUUCCCAUUCAAUUGUAUUUCUAAAUAUUCACUACUAUAUGAUGAAUUUCUCUCUCAACGUCAUUAAUGUCAUUGAACUAGUCACAUAUGAGAAUAAGAAUUUCAUCUUAUCUUCUCUCUUAUUAAGUCCUUCUAUUUUUUCACAAUAUAUAGAUAUUAAAAAACAGUUUAAAAAAAUUGUGGAUUAGUUGGUUUCUGUAUUUUCAUUAAGAUAUGAGUCAUCUUUAACAAUACAAGAAAAUUAAAAAUUAAUUUUAAAGAAAAAAAUAUUGUUACUAUAAUAAUUAAAUUAAUAAUUUUUUUAGUAUCUAAAAUGAUUUUUAAUUUAAUUAUUAUAACAACUAAUUUAGUCACUACAACAUUAAAAGAGAACUAGACAACAAAAUAUUUUGAAAACAUUAUUUAUUAGAGAUUACUAUAUAUUCAUGGUUAAUAUUUUUUAAAUCAAUCAAUUUACCAUAGUUGAUUGCUAUAUUGUUAAAAGAAAUAAUUUUCGUUUCUUUUUAUUUCCUUUUUCUUUUCCUGGUCAUCGUUCAUCGUUCACACGUUUACGAAAUAUAAAAGGAUAAAGGUGCUGGAAUGUGGGGAAGUGGUUGACGUGAAAAUAGAAAAGUUGAAAUUAAACGCAGGCAUUGAUUAAGUGGGUCCAAUUCCGUGACCUACACUGCAGAGUUUUAGUUGUCUUGUUUUUUUGUGGUGUAAAGUAAAUUAAAUAAAAGAAUAGACUCUAAAAUUAGUCAAAUAAUGCAUUGACUUGUUAAAAGGUCUUAGUCUUCCAUUCCUUACUUCACAUCUACCUAUGAAAAACUGUGGUCCUCUUUCAUAGUGUAGUGGACUACUGCUCCUCUCAUAUUUUUCAUCAUCCCUCAGUUAUUUAUUUGAAAACUUAUUUCAAAAUUGUAAAUUUAAAUUAAUUCUUUUUUACUUGUAAAUCUAAAGUAAUUUAUUUUAAAUUAGUAAUUUUAUCAUUUAUGUAUUAGUAAAUUUUUAACAUCAUUACAAUCUCACAUAAAUUUGAACAUUUAUAAAAAAAGGUUCCUAAGAUGGUAGAGGGAAGUGUUUAGUUUAAUUUAAUUUUACAAAUUCUGUAAUUAAUAUUUAUUAUUCAAUAACAUUUCUCCUUCCAAACUUAAAAAAAAUAAAAAUUUAAACAGCAGCUUAUACAACACGAACAUGCAUAGGGAAUCAAACAGAUGUUGUAAUUAGUAACAUUGGUUUGAGAUUCUUUAUAAUCUCAAGAUAUAAACUAAAGGGGUGAUGAAAAUCUAGCGAGGAUAUGGAUCGGUAAUUGAAGCCUCAUUGAGCGAAUCUUGAUCAUUUCUAUUGGUGGAUUCGAUUGAUCUUGUUGUCCCUGAAUUAAUCUCCCAUAACUUCAUGUCCUCAAAGAUUCCAGACAUAGCAUCCCCAUAAAAUGCAGGUGCCAAAGGUACUUGCAGACUGAAAGAAUGGCUAUUCAACAUGGGUACAACGGAAGCCAUGGUGGGUCUCGCAGCUACACUGUCUUGAACGCACAGUAACCCAAUAUGCAUGCAUCUCAUUAUUUCACUUUCCGAACCAUUGUUUAAUGUCGGAUCUACAAUAUCUGUAGCUCUUCCUUCCCUCCAACUUCGCCAUGCCUGCAUGCAUCAAUUUUUACACCUACUUAAGCUUCUUUAAUUUCACACUUCCAACGCCGAAGAACAUAAAAGGAAACAAAAUUCUCACUUACAAUAUGGCGUAGAUCGCCCGAUUCCUCUCCAUGUUGAAUGCUACUGAUUUUCUUGCCACUUACAAUCUCAAGAACAAGUACACCAAAACUAAAAACAUCUGACUUCUCUGAGAAGUGUCCAUGCAAUGCAUACUCAGGUGCCAUAUAUCCACUGCAUCAUAGUGGAGUAUGAACAAACUUAGUUAAACAAAACCAUUUCACAAUCAUCUUCGAAUAUUCCGCAGUUUUCAAUUGCUAAACCUAAACAUUAACAAGCCAAGUUUGAGUACUUACUAUGUCCCAAC
rnacentral:lncRNA from 1 species